AUUGAACGCUGGCGGCAUGCCUUACACAUGCAAGUCGAACGGCAGCACGGGGGCAACCCUGGUGGCGAGUGGCGAACGGGUGAGUAAUAUAUCGGAACGUACCCUGGAGUGGGGGAUAACGUAGCGAAAGUUACGCUAAUACCGCAUACGAUCUAAGGAUGAAAGUGGGGGAUCGCAAGACCUCAUGCUCCUGGAGCGGCCGAUAUCUGAUUAGCUAGUUGGUGGGGUAAAGGCCUACCAAGGCAUCGAUCAGUAGCUGGUCUGAGAGGACGACCAGCCACACUGGGACUGAGACACGGCCCAGACUCCUACGGGAGGCAGCAGUGGGGAAUAUUGGACAAUGGGCGAAAGCCUGAUCCAGCAAUGCCGCGUGAGUGAUGAAGGCCUUAGGGUUGUAAAGCUCUUUUACCCGGGAUGAUAAUGACAGUACCGGGAGAAUAAGCUCCGGCUAACUCCGUGCCAGCAGCCGCGGUAA
rnacentral:rRNA from 1 species